GUAAAGGAGGAGGAGUGUCAUGAUUCCUGCCUCACUCCCGUGUCUCCCUACCUGUUGCCACUUCCCAAGUGGCUCUCUCUCUCUCUCUCUCUCCCUUUGUGUGUGUGAUUGUGUGAGUGGAGACAGGUGUGCUAGAAUCAGAGCAGAGCCCUGCCAGCUGCAACCCGUUCAAUAAUCAAGACCUCUACUUAUACUCAGCCCAGCCAGAUCCACACUGCCAGAUUGUAGCCUUUGCAUCAUGCCCUGCUUCCCUGCCCUGGACCUCCACUCUACCCAGCUUCCAUGGAUUCUGCUCCGGACCUACACCCCUUGCCCCAGCCUGCCUAAGCUCCUGGUUCCCCGCUUCCAGCCCAAGCCUCAGCCCCAGUUUCCCAGCUACCAGUACUAGUUUCCCCUUACCUGCUUUAAUAAAAAUCUUGUCCUACCGUG